rnacentral:rRNA from 1 species
UACGGAGGGGCUAGCGUUGUUCGGAAUUACUGGGCGUAAAGCGCACGUAGGCGGCUUUGUAAGUUAGAGGUGAAAGCCCAGGGCUCAACCCUGGAAUUGCCUUUAAGACUGCAUCGCUUGAACAUCGGAGAGGUAAGUGGAAUUCCGAGUGUAGAGGUGAAAUUCGUAGAUAUUCGGAAGAACACCAGUGGCGAAGGCGACUCACUGGACAUGUAUUGACGCUGAGGUACGAAAGCGUGGGGAGCAAACAGG